CAGAUUUUCACAGUCGGACUUGUGAUUGGCUUCUCUUCUGCAUCCUUAAGAACUGCAUCAAUUUCUGACAGUCUUCGCUUCCACUUGUUAAGUUCUUUCUCCACUUGUGUUUUGCGUACGAAGUUCAGAAGGUCUCCAGAGGUCAACUUUCCAAGCAAGGGCUCAAGAAGAGCCGAGAGAAAGACUUCUCCAACAACUUCCAUCCUGCUGAAUGAUGUCACAGAUAAGAUCAGAUUUUUGGCCUAAACAUUGACGGUACUCUAACUCAAUAAUAAGAAAAAGCUAAGAAUCCACUGCUUCUGCUGUGUUGGGUGGAUGUUUACAUCAUUAACAAGUUAUCAAAUAUAUGAAAAAAUCACUUAAAUUAGCAAAACACAUGUCUGCAAUUUUCUGCAGAAUCAGCUAUGAACAAGGGAGAGUUUUCUUUACACUGCAGAUUUUUCGUUCCCUGUCUUCUCUUUUACAAUUCCAGAAUAUUACAGCACCUUUAUGCUUCCAAAAUCAUCACAUCUUAUCCUUACACUUGCUCAUUUCAAUCACCACGUAAACUAACUCCAAUUACAUUGACUUGGCAUGCGUUACACUUAUUAAAGUUAAGGUUAAAGUUCUGUAACGUUCACAGCAUAUAAACCCCAACAGUAUCAGAAGCCAAUGAACUGCAAACAAAAAAAACUGAACCCAGUUUAUGAAACUAAAUAUAGUAGGUUAUCAUCGAGAGGAUAUUGGCAUCACGAAGAAUUAUGUCAUCAGCUUUUCAAACUUGCAAAACUACCCAGUAAUGAUAUAGUUUAGCAGAGUUUAAAAGAUGAAAAAGAAACUAGUAGCCAAAUUGUGGCUAGGGAGACCAAACGAUAGAUAUAGCAUUCUUCGGUGCAUUACCUGUUUUACACCGAGCAGCAAAUCGAUCUGUAAGUCCCUUGAAAACGGUAGAUCGGUACUCUUUAGAAAUUAAUCUUAGGUACUGUGGCAAAAGAAGAAGGCAAAGAUUGUGAAGAGGAGAGACAGAGAGCACUGAUUGAGAAGGCAAAGAUUGUGAAGAGGAGAGACAGAGAGCACUGAUUGAGGAGUAACUAGUAAAGACAGAAGACACAAAAAUUAAACAGAGGAGCGUACGCAUGGUCUUGACUUCUUUACAGCACAAAUAAUUGAACACGGUCAUAUGGACCCGCCCUUAUGAAAUUCACUUGUCUCUCACUCUAGAAUUUUACGGUAGCAAUACCCCCACUACAAAAAAAAGAUGUAAAAAAAAAAAAUAAACCAUUGAUAUGAUUCCAAUUCUCUUAAUUGCCAAACAUCGGCUGCCAUAGUUUGAAGGGGAAGCUCCUUGACAAACUUCCGAAAUUGUAAGUGAUUUAUAUCUAAUCUUCUUCGAUGUUCGAAGAAGGGGAAGACGAUAGGCUCUCAUGAAUAUUGGACACAUUAAGAUUCUUCCAUGAGCCAAACACCAUCCGCGUCUUUGAAGUACCAGGAAAGUAUCAAAUGGUCUAAUGGAGUUGAGGACUUGAUAGCCAGCUUAUAGCGAAAAGAAAAAAAAUUAGGAUUUCCUAAGCCUUUAUAUUAUAGCUAUAUUAAUCAUUAUGAAUGCCAAAAUUUUCUUAACUAUUUUAAAAAAUAACAUGCAAAAUUAUUUAAAUAGUAAAUUAAACCGAUUUAAUUAAUAAAAUUCAAAUCAAAUAAAAAUAUGAAAUCUAAUUAUGAAAAGAAUUUGAAAAUAACAAGAAAAAUAAACAAAAUUCCGAGUCAACAACUUCUAAACCUAAUUUAGGCAUGUUCUUGACCUCAGUUAGUGUCAGCAAAGUUUCAAGCUUGGACUUGAUAAUACUGUUUAUUUCCGAGCACCCACCCAAGCUUGGAACCAAAUAUAUACUCAUCCUGCAGAUUGCACAAGCUUGGACUACUGAUUAAUUAUUCGAACGAAUGUGAUAGAUCCUGUAUUUCCUAAUAAUUUGAACUUCUACUUCCUCUUGAGGCUGUAGCUAUGAGUUUUCUGCUUCCAGGACAAGACCAUCAGAAGAAAAUAUAAUUUUCAUCCUCUUAAUUUUAAUCCUACAAAAUAAAGAGAAAAUAAAGUCAUCUUGAUAUCUUCUUCUACACAUGUUACUCACUUAGAGGAUGUUUUGGGACAUGUUUGGAAUGGAGUUUCUUAAAAUUUUAAAUUUGUUUUGUUUAAAAUUUUUUAUAUAUAUUUUUUAUCGUUUUUGAUAUAUUAAUAUCAAAACUAUUUUUUUAAAAAAAUAAUUUAAUAUAUUUUCAAAUAAAAAACAAUAAUUACACCAUAUAAAUCACUAUUAUUCUUUUUCAAGAGUUUACAAGGGAGACGCCAUUUCCUCGCACACAGGAUGUGACUAAAGAGAAACCACUUGGAAAUGUCAAGCUGGGAAAAGAAGGGAAGGAAGCAGGUUCUUGCCUCUGAUAAUUAUACAAUUUUGAAAAAAGAAAUUGAAAGAGAAAAAUCAAAGAUGAAGACUCACUGUCAAACUAUAAUGAUUACGCAUGGAUAAUUCAUGACUUAUAUUUAUCUGACAUGAAUUCAACCCAAACUCAAUGGAUUUGACAUUAAAUUACAUGAUUUAAUGAGUUUUUUUUAGACCGUAUCAAUCUAUGGAUAAUAAAUAAAAAAUAUAAAUAAAUAUUAUCAAAACUAAGUCGAAACGAUGCACAUUUACAUCCCUGCUAACAUGUAUUCUCAUGGUGCAGAAGCAUCUCGACGACUUUGCUCAUGGUGGGGCUUGCAUCUUUGACUUUCUCCACGCAUUUCAACGCCAACGAAGAACCCAUCUCGGCUCUGUCAUAUUCUCCGUCCAAUGCCAUUCCAUUUCCAUUGGCUCCAUCUUUCUUUUCCCUCGCCGCCUAUGUCCCACUAUUGGUACAGCUUGGAUAAGUAUUAUUAUGGUGGGGGGGCUUGCAUCUUUGUCUUUCUCCACGCAUUUCAAUGCCACCGAAGAACCCAUCUUGGCUCUGUCAUAUUCUCCAUUCCAUUGGCUCCAUCUUUCUUUUCCCUCGCCACUACAGCCAAGGAUGAAGUCUAUGAGAUGACAUGUGAAAACUUUAUUUGUUUGUUUUCAGUAGACAUUAUUUGCUCUAUUAUUGCAGGGUGUUUAAUCAUGUAAUGAAUAUUUUAGCUUUGAAACCUUGGAGUUGGCCCUUUCUAAGUAUGAUUGUAGUGUCUUUUAAUAGAUUUAAGACUUCUAUAUCUCAUCUUCUACUUCAAAAAAUAUAGAAAGGAUCCCUUUAAGUAGACUAUAGGUCUAGGGAGGCCUAUACUUGGAAAAAUUUAAAACAUUCUGUAUGGGUCAAACGCCCAUGAUUAGGUUACAAAUGAAAGUAAAGGAGAGCGCAAGAAAUUGCAUUAAAUAAAUUUUAAAAAAAAAGGGUAAAAAAAGAGUGCGUGCUAUUGCCUUCUACCAUUUCUUCUGAAAUAAAGGAAACAAAAAAUUUCAAGAAAAAUCUCCUACAGACAAGGGGGUAGGGCACGCUGGAAAAAUAAUCUGCUGUCAUAAUCCAGAAAGAAGCUAGACAGAAAAGGCCACUCGGGUUCAAAAUCCCAGCCAUCAAGAUUGAACAUCAACUUGAAACCCAUAAUAAACUGAAAUCAAGUAGACAAAUGUUUGACUAAUCCACCUACACUUCCAAGAAAAUUGCUAUUUGGUGAGCUCAUCAUCGUCUUCGCAUCCCCCGUCCACGGCCACGGAAACCACCUCCCCCACGUCCACCCAUAGCACUUGCAGCAGCUUCUCCCUGAGCACUUUCAGACUGCAACAUCAUUUAUGAUGGGAAACAAUCAGCUUACCCGUAAUAUCAACGGUUACCAUCCUGGUCAGCUCCACCACGAAGAACAAUGGUGGCUGUCCUUCCAGAAGGGCAUCCGCUGAAAAUAUUAAACCUCUCAUUUCCAACUUGCUUUUCCUCAAAAAUCUCACAAGUCCCAAGAACCUUUAGGCCAAACAACAGACAAGAAUUAAAAAAUUGAAUGAAGAAAAGAAAAUGUUAACAAGCAUAUACUGUAUCGAUUAAAACUUUUAACAGAUUUUUCCAAAUCAAGAUAAUCGCAAGACCUCAUCAAUUAUGUUGUUGACAGUUGUCUGUACAGUUCCACCAGUUGCCGCAGCAACUCUUUGCAGAUCUUCUUCACUUACACGACCAGCACAGAAUAUAUCUCGAUCAGCAAAAUACUGUUACAGACAGGGUAUCUAAUUAAUAUGCCACUAUUAAUCCUAAGCAAAUAGAAGAAAUAAGAGUUUUCAGCAAGAUAGAUAGCCAUACAGCUAAAUAGUCACAUCAUUCUUCAAUAUUCCAUAUAUUGAACUAUCGAUCAAUAUCAUCAAAAAGGAGUAUACUGUGAAGUCCUAUAAGACUAACAUAUGAAUCAUACAGAACUUUCUUGCACAUGUCUGUGAAAAUCUAGGAGAAUUCAAGUAGACAUAAUCUGCAAUUUAUAAGGUGGUUACACCAACCCUGUUAGAAUAUAAAUAGUAAUUGUUUUUUUUUUUACAAAAAAAAGCAUGCAAUAUUGGUGGAGAAAAAGUUUUAUGACCAGAAAGACCAAAAAAAGCUUAUACAAAAAAGACUACCAACUAAAAAAUUAACCAAAACAUAAGAGGAUAUACUGGCCAUGCAUUUUCAAUCAGAAGUUCAAAAUCUCAGAAAUAGAUCAGAGCAUUUACGAAACAAAAGGCACCCACCUGUGUUGCCAGAUCACCGAUUGCAAGGCGUGAAAGAACCACUUUUGCCCCACUUUGCACACAUUUAUCCAACUUGUCAUAAAUGAUAUUCCAUUCCGCAUCAACAAUGGACUGGUACUGAGAUGGAUCUGACAGCCUACAGCAUGUGAAAAGUAGCUUUGGCAAUUUCAGUUAUCAGCUCUCAAAAGAAAUAUCAACAACUAAGCCUAGAUCCCGAAAUAGUGGAGAGUUCUUAAUAGGAAUGUAUAGUUUAAAAUUUUUUUUAAAAAAAAAACGAAACCUACCUUAUCUCAGCAUUUUCUUUCUCAGAUUUCAGCUCCAACUCAAUGUUGAGUAAGAGCAUCUUGGGAUUCACAAACUUCUUUGGUUGUUGUUCAAACCCCGCAUAAGAAAACGUCUUUUGAAAGGCAACACCAUUAACCAGAAAUGAAUCUCGCAUAGUACCACCUGGGACCUAUGGGGGCAAACACAAAUGUUCACUCAAGGAAAUCAAUUUUUUUUUCAUUAUAUACUAGCAACAGAAAAUUUGCAAGUCCAGAAUUUUUCAUUUUUCAUUAUGGAGCCAGCAGCUCAGCACAACACCAGAAUCUGAGAGAACUUUUGAGAUGAUGAACAAAUGCAUUACACAAAAAAACGGAGAUUUCUAUGUGCAGGUCCAGGAUCUCAUGUUGCCUAAAUGCCUUAGACAUUAUAUCGCCCACAUGACUAUGAACACCACAGAUUCUCAUCAUAAAAUGUCCUCAACAACAUUUCAAAAUCAAACCCACACGAUUUCCUAAAUUCUAUGUCUUGAAGCCAUUUAUAAAACUGCCAAUUAUCACAGAAUAACAUGAAGAGUGAGACAAAAAAAUAUAGGAAGAAAAAAUACAAAAGCAUUUCCCAAUAAGUUUACCUUCUUUAUUCCAAUCAUAUUUAGCCUGUCAUCAUUCCCAAUUGCAAUCACAGCAUCCACGACCAUUGAUGCAAAGAACUCCUUCUCGCAUAAGAAAGCGUCUUUCAAACAAUAAGAAAGAGGUAAAGCUACGCUGUGUAGACGUGUGCUGAAAAGACCCAGAGAAGGAGUCCUCUCAACGAUGAGAACCGUUCAUGCGGUACAACUCAUUGCUGUGAAUAACAUGAUGAAAUUUGCCUGCAAAUAGGAAACGUGUAAAAGCCUCUGAAAAUCUAACGCUGGAAUAUACUAAACCUGGAACAGGGUUGUUCUUUUUCAUUUAUUUGUAACAAAAGAAAACCGUUAGUAGAAAAGGCAUACCUCCACACAUUUUGCAUCUGCAUUACAAAAAUUUAGUGUAGUUUGCCUAACUUUUUGCCACCUUCAUAAAUGCAUAGCAUACAGCAAUCCAUUAGUGUAUAGAAAAUAAGUUGAAAGUAAAUGACAGUGUUUUGCGAGGAAACACACAGCUCACCACUGAUUUGAGAUGCAGCCUUUCAUUUGGCCUCUGCACAGGCUUGUAAAGUACAGUUUGCCCGCAUAAAUGAACAUCAGACACCGAAUUGCAUCCAAGAAUAAUAGAAUGCCUGUAAGUCUCCUUAACUUGUAUGUUAAAGAUGAUGAAACUGCAUUUUGUACAUCAAACUGAAAUCAGAACUUGAAAUUAAUUUCUUAUCUUAAGAUAGUAGAAUUGCAUGACACCUGUGUGAUAACAGAAACGCUGGAGAACAGUACCAGGCAAGCCUCCUUGUUUGAUUGAAGACUGUCUGUCGGAACUUAAGCCGCCUUAAAAUCUUGGAUCCCUAAUAUUAAGUGAUGGAGACUUGAUACUUGCUCAUGAUCACAAAAAAUUAUGUUGGAGUUGCAACUUGCAGGGGUUCCAUCCUGGGCAACAGACCAGCCAAACUUAUUUCCUCAAUUUAAUCCAUUGCUUGCCUAGCAAAGUAAACAAUAAUAAUAAAAAAGGUUGUUCUCCUUACAGAUGCAUGAGGUUGCAUAGCACAUUUUAAGAAGAGGGAGAAAAAUAUGUAGGUAUGUCUAUGCUGUGCAUGACUAUGGACUAGUCCAAUCCAAGCAAGCCUUUUAAAUUAUCCAAUUGUUUAUGUACAUUUUUUCUUUCUUUUAAUUUUUCUUGUCGUUACAGGAGUGUAUGGAAAGAAAAAAGGAAGCAAUAAACCUUGGAUGUGAUUAUGGAGCAGAUAAACCAAGAAAGAAUACCUGAUUAUCUCACUUUUUUUCUCUUUCAAAUCCUUCGGAACAAAGAUAUCAACUUUGGGGAUGUGGGCAAUGAUGGACCAAUAAUCUCCUUUCUCUUUCAAGCAUCGUUCCUCCAGAAGAGGGCUGCUACGGAUACGUAUACAUCCAAGUGAGAGAGGGAAGCCCUCCCUGGGGAAGAACCGGAGUAUAGGGCACUCAAAAAUGUUUAAUACUUCAAGGGAGGUGAGGUGUUGGAGGCCUCUGGAUAUCGAUUUAAGAUUCUCCUGAUUAGAGAUCUCAAGAAAAGUUAACGAAGGGGGAGGCAGCAGACCUUCAUCAUCCGGAAAGCGAUCCACAUCCAUUGUAGAUUCGACUGAGAAUCGUUUAAGAGAGGUGAGCAUGCGGAGUCCCCACUCAGAUAUUGGCAGUGAAAUUUUGCAAUUAAGAAUUUCAAGUGAAGUCAGGUUAGGUGGCAAACCCCUUUCCGUAACAUUUUUCAACGUGAAGCUUUUUGAGGGAAGGAAGGCAACUUGGCAAAUCUCCAAUCAACCUCGGACAAUUCAUCAAGGUAAGCUCACUGAGUUUAGGAAAUUUUCCCACAGUACUUUCAUUGACACCGUCAGACCACAACCAUUGCUCCCACCCCAACAUAUUUCUGAUGUAUAAAGUCACAAGAGAUUGGAAAUCCUCAGCAUACACUUCUUUCACCCCAUCCAUUCCUUCUAUGCUCAAAUGCCUUAGAGCAGGGAGUUUUCCAACCGAUGAAAGUGAUGUGAUCUUCCGACAAGUAGAAAGCUUUAGGUGCACAAUUUUAGAAAAACAGCUAUCCCCUAUCCAUGAUGGAAACUCGGUACCGCCAUAUGAUGUAACUGAAAGCUUUUCUAGACUUCGGUGAGGCUUUAAUGAGUCGAAGACAUGCAGUUCAUUCCUUUCAUUUCGCAGUGAAUCAUCAAAAUUACUAAUCCAAUGCAAGGAUAAGUCACAUAGACCUGCCUUCUCUUUCAGAUUUGCAAGUUCUGCAUCUCGAAUAUUCACCUUAUGCAACCCCUCUAUUUUAAGCUGCCCUUGUAAAUGCGAAAGCUUCAUCAACUCCGUUAUCCCAAGCCCUUUUCCUUCUCCCACGAUAAACUUAGGCAGCAUGCGAAGAUUUAUCAAUUUGCUUAUCUGCAGAGGCAUCUCCUGCAACCCAUCUGUAUCUCUAAUAUCAAGGCACUGCAAAUUAAUUAAAUUGACAACACAUGUGGGCAACUCAACAAGCUUCCGGCACCCACGUAACCUCAAAGUCUGCAAGUUGAAGAGUUCACCCAACGAUUCAGGUAAUCUUUUAAUCCAAGUAUAGGACAAGUUAAGGUAACGUAAACGCUUUAAGGUACCAGUAGAAUUUGGCAAUUCCUCAACAGAAUAACCAGCUAGUGACAAUGCCCUUAAACAUUUUAAUUUUGGCACUAAAUCAUCCAACACCUUGCUAGAUAAGUGAUAAGGCCUUGACUGUGAUAAAUAAGUUGGCAAUGCUAAGAAUGUUCGCAAGUUCUUCAUUUCAUAGAAGACAUCAAAUCUUUGAGAAAUGUCAUAUCUAUGAGAAGUGAAUGAAGAGUGGCGAACUGCAGCAUAUGAUUCUACUGAGCAUGGUUCCUUCUUCGUGUCAUCCAAAUAGAAGCAUAUUUCUCCACUUACAAACUGAGCAAGAUCACUUAUAAGAUCAUGCAUUAUAAAUCGUGAUAUCUUGCUACUAGAUCGUUGAAAAAACGACCUUGAUGAUAAAUCACGAAAAUAUUCAUGGCCUAAGUCUUCCAUGUGCUUCUUUUUCAUUUUUUGCUUCAGAAAACCUUCUGCCAUCCACAGGGAAACUAGCUCGCCCUCUUCGAACUCAUAAUCUUUAGGAAAGAUUGCGCAGUAAGCAAAACACUGCUUCAAAUGGGAAGGAAGAUGAUUAUAGCUUAAUCUCAAAGCUGAAAGAAUGCCACUUUCAGUUUCUGGCAAAUUCCACAUCUCACUGCUCAAAAUGUCUUCCCACCCUUCAAGGUUCUGCUUAUGGCGUAAGAGUCCUCCAAGUGUCUUUGCAAUCAAAGGCAAUCCUUUACAUUUUUCCACCAUCUCUUCUCCUAUUUCUUUCAAUUCCAAAUGAGCAUCAAAAUUUCUGGAAUCCAAAGCAUGUUGGGUAAAUAUGCGUAGACAUUCAUCAAAUGAUAGCCUCUCCAAAGUGUAAGCACGAACAGUGCCCAUUUUUGAAGCAAUGUCUUCACUACGAGUUGUGAUGAUGACUUUGCUCCCCCUUGCUCCUGCACUGAAGGGAAGAGAAAGGGCAGUCCAAUCAUCAUGGUUGUUACUCCAAACAUCAUCCAACACUAUCAAAAACUUCUUUCCAGACAAUUUUUCCUUCAAUCUUUCUUGAAGAACAUUUAAAUCAUUAUCUUCACAACUUUCCAAGUGCUGGAGAAUUGUUUUUGUUAUCCUCGGAAUGUCAAAAUCAUCAGAAACACAGACCCAUGCUUUGCAAUCAAACUUCACUCUCUCAUCAUUGUAGACAAGUUGAGUAAGAGUUGUCUUCCCGAUACCACCCAUUCCAAUUAUUGGAAUGACGGAGUACUCAAGGUUGCUAGCAUCAUCGUUCAUCAACAAUUCAAGUAUGGCUUUCUUGUCAUUGUCCCUCCCACAAACAUCGGAUUCUUUGACCAGUGAUGUAGUCGCGCUUUUUUUCACUCCUUUUGACCUCUGUUCAGCCAUGAUUCCCACGUCGAGCUCAUUUUUCUCUUUAGCAAUUGCUUCUAGUCGUGUAGUUAUGCCCCGCAGCCUGGACCCCGUCCUCAUAUUAAGCUCAAUAGCACUUGGAUUCAGACCAGCACAACAAGUUGGGAGGAGCUUCCGGACAGUACUGCUGCUGGCUUGAGAUUCUGCCCUCAUCUUGCUUGCCAAAGCUUCUGUUUGAAACUCGUCCAGCACGUCCUCCACAUCAUAAGCCAAAUCUCGGAGCUUGGUAAGCCAGAUUUUCACAGUCGAAUUUAUGAUUUGCUUCUCUUCUGCAUCCUUAAGAACUGCAUCAAUUUCUGACAGUCUUAGCUUCCACUUGUUAAGUUCUUUCUCCACUUGCGUUUUGCGUACGAAGUUCAGAAGUUCUCCAGAGGUCAACUUUCCAAGCAAAGGCUCAAGAAGAGCCGAGAGAAAGACUUCUCCAACAACUU
rnacentral:lncRNA from 1 species